rnacentral:rRNA from 1 species
CCUACGGGUGGCAGCAGUGAGGAAUAUUGGUCAAUGGACGCAAGUCUGAACCAGCCAUGCCGCGUGCAGGAAGACGGCUCUAUGAGUUGUAAAUCGUUUUGGUACGAGGGUAAACGCAGAUACGUGUAUCUUUCUGAAAGUAUCGUACGAAUAAGGAUCGGCAAACUCGGGGCAAGCAGCCGCGGUAAUACGGAGGCAUCAAGCGUUAUCCGAAUUUAUUGGGGUUAAGGGGUGCGCGGGCGGUCGGAUAAGUUAGUGGUGAAAUCCCGAGGCUCAACUUCGGAAUUGCCUCUGAUACUGUUCGGCUAGAGAGUAGUUGCGGUGGGCGGAAUGUGUGGUGUAGCGGUGAAAUGCUUAGAGAUCAUACAGAAAACCAAUUGCGAGGGCAGCUUACCAAGCUACUUCUGACGUUGAGGCACGAAAGCGUGGGGAGCAAACAGGAUUAGAUCCCCAGUAGUC